GACAGGUGGAGCAGCAACCACUUCAAAAACGGGCGGCACCGAAAAGCCAGAUGAGUAGGAGUAAA
rfam:Sphingobacteriales bacterium 46-32 scnpilot_p_inoc_scaffold_45, whole genome shotgun sequence.